GGCUCAGGAUGAACGCUAGCUACAGGCUUAACACAUGCAAGUCGAGGGGCAGCAUGGAGUUUGCUUGCAAACUCUGAUGGCGACCGGCGCACGGGUGAGUAACGCGUAUCCAACCUCCCUAUAGUAGAGGAUAGCCCGGCGAAAGUCGGAUUAAUACUCUAUGUUUUCCGUUGCAGACAUCUAAGAUGGAACAAAGGCUUGCCGCUAUAGGAUGGGGAUGCGUCUGAUUAGGUAGUCGGCGGGGUAACGGCCCACCGAGCCAUCGAUCAGUAGGGGUUCUGAGAGGAAGGUCCCCCACAUUGGAACUGAGACACGGUCCAAACUCCUACGGGAGGCAGCAGUGAGGAAUAUUGGUCAAUGGACGAGAGUCUGAACCAGCCAAGUAGCGUGCCAGGACGACGGCCCUAUGGGUUGUAAACUGCUUUUAUGCGGGGAUAAAGUUCACUACGUGUAGUGUUUUGUAGGUACCGCAUGAGUAAGGAUCGGCUAAUUCCGUGCCAGCAGCUGC
rnacentral:rRNA from 1 species